UACGGAGGGUGCAAGCGUUAUCCGGAAUCAUUGGGUUUAAAGGGUCCGCAGGCGGGCUAAUAAGUCAGUGGUGAAAUCCCUCAGCUUAACUGAGGAACUGCCAUUGAUACUGCUAGUCUUGAAUUCGGUCGAAGUGGGCGGAAUGUGUCAUGUAGCGGUGAAAUGCAUAGAUAUGACACAGAACACCGAUAGCGAAGGCAGCUCACUGGGCCUGAAUUGACGCUCAGGGACGAAAGCGUGGGGAGCAAACAGG
rnacentral:rRNA from 1 species